rnacentral:tRNA from 1 species
UCUGUAGCCAAGUGGUUAUGGCGGCGGGCUUUUAACCCGUAUACCGUGAGUUCGAAUCUCACCAGGC